rnacentral:lncRNA from 1 species
AACCCAGCCCACUUAAAGAAGGCUCUUCAGUGAAUAAAUAGCCCUGGCUGGGAGACGGUGGGUAGGAGAUCGCAGCUUUACUUCUGGUUCAGAUGCUAACUUACUGUGGGCUUUGGACAAAUCACCUCACCACUCAGCUUCGUCACUGUAAAAGAUGUGUCUCCUAUACGGUACAGUUCUGAGCUGAUAGAUGGAGAAAUCAUUGAUUCCAGUUGUGGCGACCUAGAAAGAGCUAAAGGAAGAAACUGAGACAGAAGGGCUGGUGGUACAUGCUGCAUCAGUGUGUGAACUUCCUUGCUACUAAACCGCAUUGACAUAGGCAGCAGGCAGGAUACAAAGCAGUGCCAGUUCCUCCCUGCUCCUGUUCCAGAUGGCUUCCAUAAUUACUUUUUGCAGAUAUGGUAACGGAACUUCAGGAUGUAAGUCAACAACAAAACGCAGCAGAUAAUAUAAGGAGAAGGAAACUGUAAAUUUGUUGAGUUUCUGAAAACACAAGACUGGCAUGAACCAAGCUUUCAGCUGGACUCCAGUAAAGUAUAUCUGAAGUCUCGAUUCAUGUUGAAUGGUAAAUGGAACCCUGGAGUUUCUUGUGUUUUAUUGUGGUUAGUAAACAUAAGUUUUGGGAAUCAUUUUCUUAAAGUUGAAGCCCAGCGUUACACAGCCAACAACACUGCCCAAUAAGCACCUCUCCCAAGAGAGAUCUUUUAUCUUCAUUCCCUUGACUGAGGAUGUUCUCUGAUUUUAUGGCAGCGUUAUCUGUUUAAAUGUAUGAACAACUUGGGAGUAAUCAUGCUUCUCAAGAAACAAUGGUAAUUGUCAGGCUAUUCAGCAAGUGAAAUGAGAUCUUAGAAUGCUAAUUUUAAACACAUUUCCUUUGUGGAUUUUUAUAAAUAAAAUGUCAACUUUGGGAGGACAUUUCAUUUCUCAAAGUUAAUAUGGUGUAAAGCAUUCAAAUAUUUGCUCUAAAUUAGUCCUAAGAAUGACAACUUAAGAGAAUGGACUAAGCUUUCGUUAAUAGGUAUUGCAUGGGUAAGACCCUGGACAUUAAAGGAAAGCUGGUUUGUUUUUAUACCAUGUCUGGGCUUAGUAAAUUUAUUUAUUUAUGCUUAUUUUCAGUAUUCAGCACUGAUAUGCAAGUGAGAAUAACACUAGCUCACAGUUAUUGAGAAUUCAAUAUGUGUUAGUCCAUGCUCUUUGCUAUUUACCUGCAGUUUUUCAUUUGCUCCCAUAAUGAUCCUCUAUGAUUGAGACUACAAUUACCUCCAUUUUGUAGGUGAGUUCGUUGAAAGGGUUCAGCAGCUUUUUCUAGAUUAAAAUGAUAGUAGGUGGUGGAUGUUAUACUUUGACUCACAUUUACCUGACUUAAACAUUUAAACUUUAAUCAUUGGGCUAUUACCUAAUAUUUCCAAAUAACGGUUUUAGAACCCACUGGGUUUUUCUGGUUUUUGCUUUUUAAAAUUUUAUUUUUAAAUGUUUUUUUAGAUGAGCUAGUAAGUGUCUGCCUGACCUUGAAUUACUUUGAUAACGGAUUAGAGUAUGUGCUCUCUGCUUUAUAUUUAGCCAUUGAUGGUCUCCCAAAACCUAUUCGGAUCAACUCUUAGAUAACAACUUAUCUUCCAUUUCAUGUAAAAUUGAUUCUUACACUUCUUUUCUGUUUUAGCAAGGGAAACUCAUGGGUCUGUCCCUGUCACUGAAUGACAUUUUGCUUAACAACAUCUGACAGGGUCCACCACAGCAAAUCCCCAAUGUUGGCAACCAACUAAAAAUUAAAAUGAAGGUCGUUAUCACAGUAUGACUGGUGAAACUAAAUAAGUGAGCUAAAAAGUUAAGGGCUGGCAAGAUCUUACAGGCUCACUGUGGGCUCUCAUGCUUCAUUCAGGGCUGGCCUUGGCAACGGUGGGAAAUCAAUGGGGCUCAUCAUCUGGUAUGCUGGGUUUUCCUCUCUGCACAUCCCCAGCCUCUCCUAUCUUCUGAGCUCUUCUUUCUCCAGUGUUGCUUCCUUUCUUCCCUUCAGGUUUUCAAAAUCAUGCUGCUUUCUCUGGAUAAUUGGUCACUUUGGAAUGCCAUAGACUCUGCUAGGUGUUUUAUAUUUUAUCCAAUCCUGACAACACUUCAGGGCUCACUAAGUUUAAAUGGCUUCCAAGAUCACAAGCUCAAAGAGGGCUAAAGUGAGCUCUUAAUUUAGGGUUGCCAGAUUGCAAAGGUGAUAUUUUUGUUUCUAUGCAAUGGUCUCUUUUACUAAGCUGCCACAACUAUAACAUUCUCAGGAAAUAUUCUGGCUCCAGAUAUUUUCCUAGAAUGUAAAUUUCAGUAAAGAUAUGAUAUUUCUUCUCACAUAGGGACCUGCUUAUAUUUUAAGGGUUCUAUCUUACUGGUGAAUGGAAAUUUGCAUCCUUCUCUGGAUAUUUUAUACAGCAGUCGGCAUUUGGGAAAGUAUUUUUUUGAUCAGCAGAACUCUCCUGUGCUUUUGAAGUGGUCUCAAGUGGGAAAACACCUAUCUUACUUAUGUGUAAGGACAACAUUGUUUUUUAUCAUGAUAGAACAAUAAGAAGACUUAUAUUUUGGAGUCUUUUACUACAUAAAGGAGGAUCUACCUUCUCUUGGGAAUAAAAAAUUUAGAGUCUUCCAAGGGUCCUCCAACUGGACAAGUUGUGUUAUGACCAUCUAGGCUUUCCUUCUUUCUAAUCUCUUACUUGAAAACUAUUCCUUAGAAUAGAUUUGAAAGGGAGGAGAUUUAUGUAUGUAUGCAGUGUAUGUAUAGAUGUGUGUAUGUAUGCUUGUAUAUAUUUAUUAAAUUAGUGUUAUCUUUCAUGCAUUUUAAAUUGGGAAAUAAAAAUAUCACAUGUUGAUUAGAAAUUGAUGGAAAAAGAUGUAAAAAAGAGGGAAGCUCAUAAAUAAGGAAGUUUUAUGCCAGCUUUGCUUUUUCAUUCUAUCACUUUGUUAUUAAGGAAAGCAGCUGG